GACGAACGCUGGCGGCGUGCUUAACACAUGCAAGUCGAGCGGUAAGGCCCUUUCGGGGGUACACGAGCGGCGAACGGGUGAGUAACACGUGGGUGACCUGCCCUCAGCUCUGGGAUAAGCCUGGGAAACCGGGUCUAAUACCGGAUAUGACUCCAUGACGCAUGUUGUGGGGUGGAAAGCCUUGUGCGGCUGAGGAUGGGGCCCGCGGCCCUAUCAGCUUGUUGGUGGGGUGAUGGCCUACCAAGGCGACGACGGGUAGCCGGCCUGAGAGGGCGACCGGCCACACUGGGACUGAGACACGGCCCAGACUCCUACGGGAGGCAGCAGUGGGGAAUCUUG
rnacentral:rRNA from 1 species